ensembl:lncRNA
UGUGAUUUGGUUUCUGUAAAUACAUUUCAAAGUUAACACAGAGUAACCAGAAACAUGAUCUAAUUUGCAUAUUCAUAUCCAGUUUGCAGCAAAUUUGCAGCAAACGGUAGAAUGUUCGCCACAAAUGUCCUAAAAUUGUUUGCCAGAAGUUCACAAGUUUCACAGUUUUCCACAACUAAAUUUGAAUACAUGAGCUUGCUGCUAAAUUUGUGGCAAAUUGGCCAAAGGUUUGCCCCAACUGUUGUCCGAAGCCAGUUUUUUUGGUAAGGGUUGGGAAAGUUGUCCUAGUCACUGUUGACUAGGGUCGGGUUUUCGAAACUAAGCAUUCAGUUAAUGUACUGACCAUGUCUUUUCCCCUGUUUCGCCUGUAGGGUGCAGCAGCAUAUAUAGUCAACUAUCUGAUGUUCAUGUUCUGGGCUCUACUCCCUUUCCUGGCUGUUAUAUUGGUCUGGGCCUUUGCAUCUUACGCCUGUGGAUCAGGAAUACCAGAGGAAAGAACACUCAUCCUGGCCACUACCCGGUGCUAGAGGUCCUGGUUGUAACUGGAGCUACAGCCCCACUAUCCUUCCCUAACAGACAAGGUUCGCAUGCGACAGGAGGAGGUGGUCAGUGCCUCAUUUAAUGUUCUUCAAGGAACACGUGCCCCCCCCCCUGGAAUUCACUCAAAUCUGGAAGAGCUCCCCUCCUCCUUCCAUCCCUCAUGCACUUCUCUAUGGGACUGUGAAGAGGACACCUGCCCUUUUGGACACCUCCUUUCCCCUGUCUCCUUGCAUCCCGGCAUCUCUCCUUUAAUCCACUGCCCCAUGGGAAUGGGAAGAGGACACCAUCCCCAUAGGAGCGAGACACAUGAAGACUGUCUUGCUUCCCUAAUAAAAGUUGGUACUCUCAAGGGAGGGAAGGAGAGAGUGUUGAAAAAUACGUGGCUACAGACAGAAGAUAUCAUAAUGGCAAAUCAUGAAGGAAUAUGUAUGAUGCUUUGAUACCACUGACACAGACAGGAUGGGAAAAGGAGGGGAAAGAGAGAAGUAGGGAUAAGAAGGGUGAGGAGAGGUGGUGGGAAAGUGCUGACUUAAGUCUUACUUAUACUAGCCACAGUUAGAAACAUAGUAUGGAGCCCCAAGCUAGCUCCAGCCUCCACCUUUCCCCGUCAGAAGACAUGCCCAGACAGAGCACUCCAUCCUGGGCUGAUGGAUGCUUGGGAGCCCCCCUGCCCUCGUUCUUCUGUUCUGGCUUCCUCUGCCCUCAGGGAAGGGGUAGGUUGGGAAAAGAGGAUUCAGACACUUGCGCACACUAAAACACACACCAAAGACUCUCUGGCUGCCUGGGAACUACUCCGAGACAUAUUGAACAGACUGCGAGAGCUGCAAUAUCGCACACAGAGAGAGAGAGAGAGAGAGAGAGAGAGAGAGAGAGAGAGACGUAAACACCAAUCUGUGCCUUCAGGAAUCUUUUAUACAGAUGUCUAUGGUCAUAAUCUCUGUGAGAAGGUAUCAUUAACAAGCAGUGUGUGUGUGUACGAACUGUGUGUCAAAGUGUGUGUGUAUGUAUGUGUCUAAGUGUGUGCGUGCUGAAGUAAAGCUAGAACACAAAAGGGAAACAUCAGUUUAGUAUUCCUCCUAAAAUUGUCCCCAUUACUGCAUAGGUAUGUUUCCAUGACAACCUUGUUGCCUUCGUCAAUUUGAUACGCAACAGGCGUGGGAAAAGGAUGACAACACACACACUGACAAACUGUCCGGUUAUUUGAAUACAAUGCAGUUAAGUACAGGUGACUCCCACAGCUACAACAUAAUGCUAUAGAGAGCUAAAGGGACAAAGAGACUUCACAUGGUGAUCAGGUUACUGACCUGCUCAGAUUCACACAUUCCUCAAACACCUACUUGUUGGAAGACACACACAGGGACACACACGUGUGCGUGUGUUUGAGUCUGCGCUUAUGUGUCCUUAGGUGUGGGAAUAUUUUACAAAAAGUGAAAGUUUGCCAAUAUGGAACAGUUUCUGAGUUGAAAGAUCUAACAUUAAGGAAGUUCACACACACCCAUGUUCCAAGUUAGUCAAGUUGUCAGUUUAACCUUGUCAGUUUAAAUUGUUUGUCAAGUUGCUAAUUUAACAUGGUCAGCUUAAAUUAGUCAAGUUGUCGGUUUAACCUUGUCAGGAAUCUUGUGGUCUUUUCUCUUCUCUUUUUCUGAUUCUUAAAUCUUUUUUGAAUUGUGAAUAAAAUGGGAAUGAAUUCUGAAUCGAAUUGUAAUGAAAUGGAACCCAGCAAACUGUAGUGUAGUUCUUUGAUCCAACGACUAAGGGUUACUCGUGCACAUACACACAGACGCUGUAUUGCUGUACUGAAGAUACUGUUAGUAAGGUAGGGGUCUCACAAAACUGUGUGUGUGUGAGAGCUGGGGUAUCUGUGUGUGUUUGUGUGUCGAUGAGUUCUUGGGAUGCCUUGUGUUUAUAAUCAUCAAUGUUAUCGGAUUAUCUCAUAAUUGUAUCCUUAUGUUCUUGUAGGAAAAACCAAUUAAAU